CCUGGCUCGCGAGUUGUUGUUUGUUGUCCCUAAACCGCCGCCGGGUCGUCCCUUUAUAUACACAGGUUGACGCCCGGCGGUCUACGGAAUCCCGAGGCUGGCUCAUAAACGUGUCCAGCUCGGUUUCUACCUUUCUUAUCUUACAACACAAGUUACAUAUGAUAUGGCGGUUUAUGUCUACAGGCCAUAACCCCCUCUGGGCCCUGGGCCUUCGUAAAGCGCCAUACUCCUUGUCUUCAUUGGCUUCAAAUAUAAAUAAUUCAUUUUGGGGGUAACCCAGCCUCUCUCGGCCGGUUUAUACCCAGUAGUAAUAUCCCCAACAGGUUCUAUAAGAUAGACAAGAUCAAGGGCUCCAAUGGGCAAACUGGCGGCUCGAAGAACUCACUGGGAAGAUGAGCAAGUGCAAGCGAUAUAUGCCAUGGCUUCUUGCAGCUUAAUCAAAGAAUUUGAUCGUGUCUCAAAGAUGAAGAGAAAAGGAAUACUUCUGAGGCCAACAAACAACUAAAUGUCAGGAAGCAAUUUAUGGUACCAAAGUAGCCUUGCAAUAAGAGGAUUGAACUAUUCGAUGCCGGUAAUGACCAGUUUUUGCAGAAAUGUCAAAUCAACAACUCAUUCAUUCUGGAAUGAAACAAAUGGACCAAACAGACCAAGAUAUUGAGCAUUCGAAAACGGCGCACUACAAACUUACACUCUCUUUUGUUCUUCAUUCUUUCAUAAGAUUGAAAUUCAAGUUGCUCUAGGAUUCCUUGCUAAUGAACGACAUGCGCAUAAAGUGACAAAUACCCAAUCUAAUUGAUAAGCUGGCUAUCCAUGUACACACAAUAUUCAAUUUUUUAUAGUCUAUAAGUGGUGCGGAAGUGAAAGCAUCUGUGAGUGCAUGUAGAUAUAUUUUGUUAACCUUUUUUUGGUUACCAAACUCCGUGUGUAAGGUAUGAGAGGACGAUGUAAAAUUUCUUUUAAAAACAAUUUUCGUUAUGCGCACCUCUGCCCAGAUUGAGUAUGGUGGUACUAAAAAGUGAUGCUCUAUUGUUCGUCUAUGUUAUGGAGUUGGUUCUUUUGAAGUUAAAGUAGCAUGUGUUUGUACGGUAAUCUUCUCGGUUUUUAAGCUUCGUCUACAAACAUAUAUGCCACCCACUUUCAGAUUUCAGUGUAGGCUUAUAGGGGGUGGAUCAUUGGGCUGUGUUCAGAAUUAGGGCUUGAGAGAAAGAAAAUAAUUAAAUACCAGGUUGUAUAGAGUU